UGGACAUAUUUCCCAGUAUUGCACAUCAACCCUCUGUUACAUGGAGCCCAGGAGCUGACUAAGCGGCCACCCCAGAGUCCUAGCUUGGGCCCCUGGAAUCCCAAGGCUUAGAGAUCAAGGGUUACAGAACAGCAGACUUUCACCCCACACACCCUUCCCUUCUCUUCCUUAUUCCGCACGCAAAAUACAGCACACUUACAACAACAGCUUACAUGUUCGAAAACUGUCCGCAGGAAGCUUCAACCUGACCGCCGCAAAGAGCGUCCAAGCUACACAGGCUUAACCUUACCUCUCCAGGGUCAACACAGGAGGCAGUAGUCGGAAAAGGCCACUUCUUCUAACAUCCUAAUUAUCGCCUUUGGUAAUGCUUUAUUUCUCCGACAGAGGAAAAGUAGAUUUUUCCUCUAGAAUAGGAUCCGGUGAAAUAUUACCAGGCAAAACAGUCUUGGAAGUGGGUUAGCAUUUCUGUCGGGGGCCAGGAAUACAGCACCAAGGAUAAAAGCACUUGCUGCAGAAGCUGAUAACUCCAGAACCUAAGCUAAAAGCCAGGGUGGUGGUGUGCUUCUGAAAUCCCACAAUUCCUAUGGUAAGAUGGCAGGCGGAAGGAGAAUCGGCUGGAAGCUAGACUGGAGUCUACAGCACACAGAAGAAACAAGAGAGACCCUGCCUCACGAGAAGGUAGAAGGAACUGCCUCCAGAAAUAACGUUCUCCAAGGGCACAGGCUGGAAGACAGAAAGAAAUGGGAUAAUGGUGCACCGAGCAGUCCUUGGUUUCAUGGAGCGCCACAUUACAUUCUUGUACCAGGAUGCCAUGCCAGGCCGUUGCUGGGGUGUGAUGUCACAUGACAGAAUCUGUUCUGUGCUCCAGGGAGGAGGAACAGGAAGAGGUUCACUGCCCGCCUGGCUGUCUGGUGAGUGGGCCUUGCCUGUACAAUGCAGGUGGACAUCCCAAGGAGAAAGCAUGACAUGACAGGUGACCUUAAGCUCGUCCGAUACCAGUGACCAAUUGCCACCAUCCUGUAUCCACUCCCUUGUCAUUGAUUGUCUAGCUCACAAAUGUGAAGCACCAGGGCCAGGUACAAUCUCACUCAGAGAUGGCUCCAAACAACUCAGUGACUGGAUGUCAAUGUGGGCUACCCAAGAUAAGGCCUCCAGAAGUCUGAUUUGGGCAAAGAUCCCCUUGGCUCAUGGAGGAGCUUCAUUUACCUGCAUUCCCCCCCUCCAUUCUUGUGAGAUGAUGGGAAACUCACCGUUAUCGAAGACGGUGCCUGCUGUGAACGAGAGCUCAGAGUCGUGUUCAGCUUUGCAGGCAUACAAGGCCUUUGCCUUCCGGAACGGCGUGCUGUGUGGAGAGGGGAGUUUAUUUAACAUUGUUUGCAACCACGAAAGCCACAGAUAGUUCACCGUUCUUCUUCCCUUUCUUUGCCAGCCACCUAGCCCUCUCUCCUGGGAAGAGCCUGGACAGGGUAGACAGAUGGCAAAACAGGAGAUGGGAAAGUCUUAAAGGCCACAGGAGAGAGCUGAGGAAGAGUCAGGAAAAGGCCAUGCUCUAAGAAGCCACAAUUCUCCAAAGUCACCUUGUGCCCCAGAGAAACUUUACCUGGGAACAGCUGGGCCUGGGAGGGGAGGGGAGAGCUUUCAGAGAGGGAGUGUUUGGGGUAGGAAGAGACCACAGGGCCCUGCAGAAUGUUCCCAACAGUUGCUCUGGGAAGUUGGCAAAACCCAAUGAACCCAAAGUCCAGCAGAGCCAGAUUUCAGCCCUCCCCCCAGAUGUUCUCCAUCACUGCUGGGGCAGCCUUCCAGAGCUGGAACUCUCCAGCCCCCAGGGCAAGCAAGGCUGGAGGAGGCGUGUGAAGCGGUGUGUGAGCACACAUGUGUACCAAGGUGAUUGACAACUGAUGGGAAGAUCCUCCCACAACUGUCCAAUGGUGCACAGAAAAUAGAGGGAUGCAGAAGGGGUGUGCUCAUUGCUGUUUGGGCCAUUUCUUUUCCUGCCCUUACAUGAGUCUAGGAUGACACAGCAGAUAGAAAAUGCCCAAAGGGAGGAAAGUCAUGCGCCUGCGUAUACGGAGAGCAUAGCUUUCUAAACGGUGAGAGUCCUCCCUGGUGGAGCCAGAAAAGGCAGUAUGCAAAAUUCCCAUCAAAAUCAAGAAUGUCCUGAUGCUUCUACCCUGUGCUACGGCUUGUUGGAGGCACAGACCAAGUCUGAGAGAUGGCCACGAGGGCCCCAAGCAGCAGAAGGCACCUGCAGGAUCUCUAUUUCACCCUUCCUGGAGGUGAGAGCUUCUUUUCUACAAAGAAGCUCAAGAGCAACCCCAUGGCACUUAGCCGCUGAUCUCUCCAAGACAGGCCUGAAACAUGGCCCUCUGGGAGAAGAGCAAGGUCAAGCCACCCACCCUCAAAAAAGAGGUGGUGCCUGUUCCCAUGAGCACUCUGAGUUCAUGACCUUCAGAGACAGAAGUGGGCUGGGAGGCCAAAAGAUUCCUGGAGUACAUGGGGUAGGGAGGCAGAAGCCCUGAGCGAUUUAAAGAGCAAGUGUGUCAUGUCUCAGUCUUUCCCUCUGUGCUAUAUUCCUCUCUUACUCAGUGGAUCUGGCCUGUGACUGGAUGUCAGGAACACCGGCCUGACCCACAAGCACACGCUGCCAAACAUUACCUGAUAACCAAGCGGUGAGGAAAGUGUGUAUGUGUGUCAGCAUUGCUCCUUAGGAUAUUAUCUUCAACCAAAACAUGGAGAGCCCAAUGACUCAGAAAAUAUUCAACACAUGAGUGCUAUUUUUGGAGAUCCCCAUUCCUCAAAUCCAAGCACCAGAGAUUAAUUCAGAAAUGUGGGUAAGGUUAGAAAGGGUAUUAAAGACACCAUGCAAGGCCAUGCAUAUUGUGCCUCUUGGCUUGGCUUCUUAGGAGGGAAUCACUGAGAGCAGAGGAGGCCCCCAGUGUCCCUGACCAGCUCUGCAUACGGGAACAGGUCAGUCACCAUCCGUGGUUUUACCUGGAGUCUUCACGAACCGCUUCUUCUGGCCUGUCAAAAAGCAAGUGCAGGUUUGGAUGGCAGGGAACAGAGUUGACGAGGAGGCUGAACACUGCGUGAAGAGAGGACCAAGCCAAUGAGAGAACAACAGCAGCAACAGAAAAUCAAACCAACCCUGCAACAGACCUGGCGGGGGAUGAGUCGCUGGACGUGGAUGAGGUGGGCAUAGGGCUGGAUGGCGCCGAGAACAUGGGCCAUGAUGGCGAGAGGGGUGAAGUUGGGCUUGGAUUCGGGGGGCUGCAAGACAUAACAAUCAGAAAACUCAUCAGCACACAGGGAAACCACAGUGGGAGCACAGGAGGUUCAUGGUGAGGUCAGAUGACAGGGUGCUGCAGCAGAGCACAGGAACACCAAAGUCCAGAGGCAUGCUGCCCAGUCUCCGUGCUCCAGGUCGGGCUUCUGCCCUGAUGUCUUGAUGCACAAGCAUGUCCUUCGCCCCAUCUCACAACUGCUUUCUUGGUGACCCGAGCUUCUCCAUUAUCUACUGUACCACUGGCCCUGGGGAACAUGCGCUGGAUACAUAAUGCGAAUCUGCAGCUCUGUGUUUUGCUGCCUGCUUUGUUACACACUGACUGCACUCUGAGCCAGCCUUUAGCCUUCACUGCUGCGUGCUUUAAAACUUACGUCUCAGCAGAAAUGAAUAUUUUUCUGGGCCACAAAGGCCAUUCAGCCAGAAAACAAUUUCCUGUUUACAUUUUUAACUACACGGGCCGUGUGCCAUUGGAGAUCCAAGUGUGCGUUAGGAACACGCUAGGGGACAGGGGCAGGAUGGACACACACCUUUCAGGGACAGCACUUAUGGCUGUGUGUAGCUCUCUGGGGGGUGCGCGGUCAGGUCUGUUCUUUCUCUUGCUGUGGAUUCUGAUGCUCCAAGAACAAUCUCAGUGAAAACACAGUUUUUAAAAAGGAGCCGAAACCUCACACUUGUCUAUUUUAUUCUCUGAUGGGCAGCUGACCAAAGGGUUGGAGAGGAAAGGUUGGAAUUACCACAGUCUGGCUGGUAGGUCUUAACUGGCCACGCGGCCCAUCUGGCUCGUUUCUGCAGAUUAUUCAAACACCCUAGCACCUAGGUGAAACGACAUUGUGUCAGUCAUAGGAAGUGCAAACAGACGGCUGAGACGAUGUGGAGGCCAGCUAGCCAUACGACCACCUCAGUUCCCGAAUCUGAGCUGGCUGCUGGACUGUACAAACAAAGUUCUUUAUGGGAGAGGGCAGCUGCAGGUGGGGAGUCGGCAAGAAUACAUGCAUGUCCUAUAUGAGGACAUACAGGAACGGUACUAGGGCCACACCAAUUCAGACAUGACACUGGUAUUGAGUGUGUGUGAGUGUGAGUGUGUGUGAGCUCGAGUAUAUGUGUGCAUAAGCAUAUACAAAAUAGAUACACGAAGACCUGUGGCAGCAUUCAGAGAACACCCUGUGCAAAGUUCAUAUCCUCCAACGAAUCUGAUUAAAUACUUAUUAAAUGUCA